rnacentral:rRNA from 1 species
GAUGAACGCUAGCUACAGGCUUAACACAUGCAAGUCGAGGGGAAACGAUGAGAGAGCUUGCUCUCUUAGGCGUCGACCGGCGCACGGGUGAGUAACGCGUAUCCAACCUACCCAUUACAGGGGGAUAACCUUGCGAAAGUAAGACUAAUACCCCAUGGCAUUUUAUGGUGGCAUCAUUAUAGGAUUAAAGAUUUAUUGGUAAUGGAUGGGGAUGCGUCUGAUUAGCUUGUUGGCGGGGUAACGGCCCACCAAGGCAACGAUCAGUAGGGGUUCUGAGAGGAAGGUCCCCCACAUUGGAACUGAGACACGGUCCAAACGCCUACGGGAGGCAGCAGUGAGGAAUAUUGGUCAAUGGGCGAGAGCUUGAACCAGCCAAGUAGCGUGCAGGAUGACGGCCCUAUGGGUUGUAAACUGCUUUUAGAGGGGAAUAAAGUGAGCUACGUGUAGUUUAUUGCAUGUACCCUAUGAAUAAGGACCGGCUAAUUCCGUG